rnacentral:lncRNA from 1 species
UUAUAUCUAUUGACGUAAGCUCCCUUUCGUUUUUUUUUUUAAUUUCAGAUUUUAAGUUUUGGAUUUAUGGUGCUUUAUUCAUAAAAAAGGGGGGAUUUUCAACACUUCGGACAAUAACUCAAAAAGCUUUCACCAAUGUCCAUGAAACUUUGGUGAAUUGUUUUAUAUCUAUUGAUGUAAGCUCCCUUUCAAUUUUUAUAAAUUUCAGAUUUUAAGUUUUAGAUUUAUAGGGCUUUAUUCAUAAAAAAAGGGGGAUUUUCAACACUUCAGACAAUAACUCAAAAAGGCUUUCACCAAUGUCAUGGAAACUUUGGUGAAUGUUUAUAUCUAUUGAUGUAAGCUCCCUUUCAAUUUUUAUAAAUUUCAGAUUUUAAGUUUUGGAUUUAUGGGGCUUUAUUCAUAAAAAAAAGGGUGAUUUUUAACACUUCAGAUAAUAACUCAAAAAGGCUUUCACCAAUGUCCAUGAAACUUUGGUGAAUUGUUUAUAUCUAUUGAUGUAAGCUCCCUUUCAAUUUUUAUAAAUUUCAGAUUUUACAUUUCCGUGUUAUGAAUUUUUAUGCUUAAAAAAGGGGGGAUUUUUCCAAUUUUGGGACAAUAACUAACACUUUCACAAAAUUUUAUGUAUGGAUGAAAAAUUAAAGACAACAAACUUAGUUAAAUUUGAGGUAGCCUUAAUAGUGCCAAUUUUUUUGUGCAUUUUUAUUUAUUAUUGGGGGGGGUAUUUGACAGGGCUCACACUAUUUCUAGUUGAUCAUAUAAAUUCAUUUAAAGCAUAAAAGACAAGUUAAAAGAGCAACGGGCGUAUCAUGCGCUAAAGCGCAGCCCUUUAUUUAAUUUAUGCCAGGUCUAUAAAAUCCUCUGAUUUUAUACAUGAAGUUCAUUAAAAAUUUUGCCCAC